CCUACGGGAGGCAGCAGUGAGGAAUAUUGGGCAAUGGACGAGAGUCUGAACCAGCCAAGCAGCGUGAAGGACGACGGCUCUAUGGGUUGUAAACUUCUUUUAUAUGGGAGUAAAAUGUCCUACGUGUGGGAUUUUGUAAGUACGAUAUGAAUAAGGAUCGGCUAACUCCGUGCCAGCAGCCGCGGUAAUACGGAGGAUCCGAGCGUUAUCCGGAUUUAUUGGGUUUAAAGGGAGCGUAGGUGGUUUGUUAAGUUAGUGGUGAAAGUCCGCGGCUCAACAGUGAAACUGCCGUUGAAACUGUCAGUCUUGAGUACAGUAGAGGUAGGCGGAAUGUGUGGUGUAGCGGUGAAAUGCUUAGAUAUCACGAAGAACUCCGAUUGCGAAGGCAGUUCACUGGACUGCAUCUGACACUGAGGCUCGAAAGUGUGGGGAUCAAACAGGAUUAGAUACCCCGGUAGUC
rnacentral:rRNA from 1 species